rnacentral:rRNA from 1 species
GAUGAACGCUGGCGGCGUGCCUAAUACAUGCAAGUCGAGCGAACGGACGAGAAGCUUGCUUUUCUGAUGUUAGCGGCGGACGGGUGAGUAACACGUGGAUAACCUACCUAUAAGACUGGGAUAACUUCGGGAAACCGGAGCUAAUACCGGAUAAUAUUUUGAACCGCAUGGUUCAAAAGUGAAAGACGGUCUUGCUGUCACUUAUAGAUGGAUCCGCGCUGCAUUAGCUAGUUGGUAAGGUAACGGCUUACCAAGGCAACGAUGCAUAGCCGACCUGAGAGGGGGAUCGGCCACACUGGAACUGAGACACGGUCCAGACUCCUACGGGAGGCAGCAGUAGGGAAUCUUCCGCAAUGGGCGAAAGCCUGACGGAGCAACGCCGCGUGAGUGAUGAAGGUCUUCGGAUCGUAAAACUCUGUUAUUAGGGAUGAACAUAUGUGUAAGUAACUGUGCACAUCUUGACGGUACCUAAUCAGAAAGCCACGGCUAACUACGUG